UACGUAGGGUGCAAGCGUUAUCCGGAAUUAUUGGGCGUAAAGAGCUCGUAGGCGGUUUGUCGCGUCUGCUGUGAAAACUGGAGGCUCAACCUCCAGCCUGCAGUGGGUACGGGCAAACUAGAGUGCGGUAGGGGAGAUUGGAACUCCUGGUGUAGCGGUGAAAUGCGCAGAUAUCAGGAGGAACACCGGUGGCGAAGGCGGAUCUCUGGGCCAUUACUGACGCUGAGGAGCGAAAGCGUGGGGAGCGAACAGG
rnacentral:rRNA from 1 species